AGCCGUUGCAUUCAAACGCCCUGCCUGGCCCAGGGCUGGCUGGUUGGCCCUUUUCUCCUUUUUUGGUCCGGUGGGGCCCACGAGCCCUUUGGCCUGGCCUUUGGUUGGAGAUGGUUUUUGUGCCAUUUCAGGCUAUUUUCGGCCCUCUGGCCAGGUCGGUUGAAGAUGGCCUUAGUGUAUCUGGUAUUGUUGGCACACUGAAAAAAAAAAUAUUCACCAGAAGUGAUAACCUCUCCCAUUUUCACCUUUAUAAAAGGGAUCACUAUUCCCUUAAAAGUUUAUCUAAUUUUACUUGCCCAAACCCAUGUCAAUUCAUCUAAUCACAUUUUACUAACUUAAGCAUCGGAGUAAUGUUUUUAACUGAUCAGCUUUGGCGUUAGAAGAUGGUAACCAAAUUUUACACAGAAACCUUAGAAUAAGAUGCUUUUUUUUUUCUUCUACAAAUUGCAUGUUGUCCUCAGAAUCCAAACUUGAGUGCUUGUUUGUCAUAUGUUCUCCUAGGACUCUACAAGAACACAUUAUUAAAAGCAUAUGAUAUGAUUUAAUCCAGUAGUGUAGCAUCUAGUGGUUCUUAAGUGCAGCAUCUCCAUUGCACUCCACCUAGUGGAUCAAUUUUCAUUUAUUUAAUUUCUCAGUGGAUAUAACUUGGUUGGGAAAAUAUUAUCAAUCUUUAGAGGAGGGGAUUUUUUUUCUUUUUCUUUUCUAAAGGUGAUAUUAAACCACUAUUAAAGAUAGUAUCAAUAUUGUUAAUUAAGCAUUAGGCUCUCUUCAGUAAUAUUUUAAGUAAAAAAGGAAGUCUAUCUUUCCUUCAAGAGAUUAAGCUUUUAUUUUGAUAUGUUAGAAUCGGAUCAGGAUUAACAUUUUGACAACUUUAGUUUUCUAGGGAUCAUAAUUGGUCAACAAUAGUUGAUAGGCUCGAGAAAUGUUUUAAAUUAUAAAUACUCCUGCAAUAGUAUAUACUCUAAUUAACAGAAUAAUUUUUAUAUCGGCACAUAUGAUUGAUCAGCAACAUUCAGUCCCUACAAAGUAGGAGGUACCAAUGUUUGAACACUUAUCUUUUUUCCCUUCUUUAUGUCACACUCUCAAGAACAAUUGGAUAAUUUGGAUAUAAACAUAUUUAUGUUCACGUGACUAAUCAGAAACAGUCUUGCUCCAUACACCUUUUGAUGUGUACGCUUCUUUUUUUCUCUUUCAACCUUUUAUGAUUUAUAAGAGCAAUGGCUCCUUGGGUAUAAAUCUGCAUGUCAGAAACAACAAGUGGGAUUGAAUUGAAUUAUUUGAUUAGGCAGAAAGAUACCAUCCAUGGUGUUGAUAAAUUAGGAAUUGACACAACCUUUUUUGUGGUGGUCAGCUUGUCCACCCCUGUGAUUCUUUUGGGUUAAAUCACAUCAACAUUUGUGUCUGCCUUGGUUUUUGAGACACAUCAAGAACAUAAUAGGCCUAAUCCUUGCCUUAUCAGGAACAACCUCCUCAUCUGUUAUACCUGAAAAUUCUUGGUGAUCUUUCUUGUUUCUUACAUGCCAUUUUAGAAGUAAAUAAAGCAUUAUUAUUGAGGAAAAUUUCAGCAGGAUAACCUGAUGAUAAUGUGGCUAGUUAAGCACUUUUAUAAGAAGUGAAACCCCGUAUAUUGGUGAUCAUAUUCCUACAUGAGGAGGAUGAUAUUAACUAGUCCUGAAUAACUCAGUUUUUUUUUCUGUGAGAAUGACAUGACCAGUGACACGAUCAUGCCCUCUCUCUGCAAUUUUCCUCAUUUUAAGGGCCUAAAUUCACUUCGUUUGUUUUUACAAAAUGGAUUUGUCUACCCUGCCAAGCUUAUUCUACAUAGUGUACAGGAGUAAGCUAGAAGCCCAAUAUACAGCUGGGAUUUCUUAGUUCUUACACUUCAUGAAUGUGACAGAUUAUUUAUAUGGGAAAUUCUAACAUAUAAUUGGAAGGUCCUAAUGUGAUGAGAGGUAUGGCUCAUGGGAAAUUCUAACAAAUAAUCUGAAAUAUGUGUGGCUCGUGAGAGAUUCUAACAUAUAUUCGGAAAUAUGUGGUUGCAUGACGAGAGGUACAGGAAGAGAGGGAUGGCCAAGUAUCUCCCCCACUCACCAGGGCUCAUGACAGAGCUGUUAGACACAUAUAUGAAGUAUCCAAAAAGGUUAGCGAAGAGAGGUUGCUGGCAUGGCCUAUGCAGCAAAUGCUGGAGGCCCCAUUGGGCGUGUGGUGUCCCUGUCCCUUAUUUUCUGCCUAAUUUGUGCAGAAAUAAUGGUGGAAUGGAACAAAAAUCCAGGACUCCUUGUCCCUUUUUGAAACUUCAGAAGUUGCUUCUAAUUUAAGUCACUGUGAGGUCCUUGUUGAUGGUGGUAGAACCCAUGUGCCAUUGCCAUGUCCAUAUGGUUAGGCUUCUGCAUUUUCAGUUUUUCUUUUGUUCAAUUAAGUAUUUGAAAGCUGAUUAAAAAUAUU
rnacentral:lncRNA from 1 species